rnacentral:rRNA from 1 species
UUUAUGGAGAGUUUGAUCCUGGCUCAGGAUGAACGCUGGCGGCGUGCCUAAUACAUGCAAGUCGAGCGAACGGACGAGAAGCUUGCUUCUCUGAUGUUAGCGGCGGACGGGUGAGUAACACGUGGAUAACCUACCUAUAAGACUGGGAUAACUUCGGGAAACCGGAGCUAAUACCGGAUAAUAUUUUGAACCGCAUGGUUCAAAAGUGAAAGACGGUCUUGCUGUCACUUAUAGAUGGAUCCGCGCUGCAUUAGCUAGUUGGUAAGGUAACGGCUUACCAAGGCAACGAUGCAUAGCCGACCUGAGAGGGUGAUCGGCCACACUGGAACUGAGACACGGUCCAGACUCCUACGGGAGGCAGCAGUAGGGAAUCUUCCGCAAUGGGCGAAAGCCUGACGGAGCAACGCCGCGUGAGUGAUGAAGGUCUUCGGAUCGUAAAACUCUGUUAUUAGGGAAGAACAUAUGUGUAAGUAACUGUGCACAUCUUGACGGUACCUAAUCAGAAAGCCACGGCUAACUACGUGCCAGCAGCCGCGGUAAUACGUAGGUGGCAAGCGUUAUCCGGAAUUAUUGGGCGUAAAGCGCGCGUAGGCGGUUUUUUAAGUCUGAUGUGAAAGCCCACGGCUCAACCGUGGAGGGUCAUUGGAAACUGGAAAACUUGAGUGCAGAAGAGGAAAGUGGAAUUCCAUGUGUAGCGGUGAAAUGCGCAGAGAUAUGGAGGAACACCAGUGGCGAAGGCGACUUUCUGGUCUGUAACUGACGCUGAUGUGCGAAAGCGUGGGGAUCAAACAGGNNUNNNNNNCCNNGNNNNNCNNNNCCGUAAACGAUGAGUGCUAAGUGUUAGGGGGUUUCCGCCCCUUAGUGCUGCAGCUAACGCAUUAAGCACUCCGCCUGGGGAGUACGACCGCAAGGUUGAAACUCAAAGGAAUUGACGGGGACCCGCACAAGCGGUGGAGCAUGUGGUUUAAUUCGAAGCAACGCGAAGAACCUUACCAAAUCUUGACAUCCUUUGACAACUCUAGAGAUAGAGCCUUCCCCUUCGGGGGACAAAGUGACAGGUGGUGCAUGGUUGUCGUCAGCUCGUGUCGUGAGAUGUUGGGUUAAGUCCCGCAACGAGCGCAACCCUUAAGCUUAGUUGCCAUCAUUAAGUUGGGCACUCUAAGUUGACUGCCGGUGACAAACCGGAGGAAGGUGGGGAUGACGUCAAAUCAUCAUGCCCCUUAUGAUUUGGGCUACACACGUGCUACAAUGGACAAUACAAAGGGCAGCGAAACCGCGAGGUCAAGCAAAUCCCAUAAAGUUGUUCUCAGUUCGGAUUGUAGUCUGCAACUCGACUACAUGAAGCUGGAAUCGCUAGUAAUCGUAGAUCAGCAUGCUACGGUGAAUACGUUCCCGGGUCUUGUACACACCGCCCGUCACACCACGAGAGUUUGUAACACCCGAAGCCGGUGGAGUAACCUUUUAGGAGCUAGCCGUCGAAGGUGGGACAAAUGAUUGGGGUGAAGUCGUAACAAGGUAGCCGUAUCGGAAGGUGCGGCUGGAUCACCUCCUUU